rnacentral:rRNA from 1 species
CAGUAGCGUAUAUUAAAGUUGUUGCAGUUAAAAAGCUCGUAGUUGGAUUUCUGACUUCAAACACCUGACCCUCCCUCGCUAGAGGUGUGUGUGCCGGAGUGUUUGUAUCAUCCUUUCAGUGAUCGGUUCUACCCUUAACCGGGUCGGAACUGUUAACUGGAUCUUUUACUUUGAAGAAAUUGGAGUGUUUAAAGCAGGCUUACGCCAGAACAUAUUAGCAUGGAAUAAUAAUUUAGGACUUUUGUUCUAUUUUGUUGGUUUCUAGGACGAAAGUAAUGAUUGAUAGGGAUAGUUGGGGGUGCUAGUAUUCGGCGGCCAGAGGUGAAAUUCUUUGAUCCGCUGAAGACUAACUUAUGCGAAAGCAUUCACCAAGGAUGUCUUCUUUAAUCAAGAACGAAAGUUGGGGGAUCGAAGACGAUCAGAUACCAU